AUUGAACGCUGGCGGGCAUGCUUUACACAUGCAAGUCGAACGGCAGCACAAAAGAGCUUGCUCUUUUGGUGGCGAGUGGCGAACGGGUGAGUAAUGCAUCGGAACCGUACCGAGUAAUGGGGGAUAACUAUCCGAAAGGAUAGCUAAUACCCCAUACGCUUUGAGAAGGAAAGUGGGGGCUCUUCGGACCUCACGUUAUUCGAGCGGCCGAUGUCUGAUUAGCUAGUUGGUGGGGUAAAGGCCUACCAAGGCGACGAUCAGUAGCGGGUCUGAGAGGAUGAUCCGCCACACUGGGACUGAGACACGGCCCAGACUUCCUACGGGAGGCAGCAGUGGGGAAUUUUGGACAAUGGGCGCAAGCCUGAUCCAGCCAUGCCGCGUGUCUGAAGAAGGGCUCCGGGUUGUAAAGGACUUUUGUUAGGGAAGAAAAGGAUAGUCUUAAUACCAUUAUC
rnacentral:rRNA from 1 species